AUGGAGACCCCUGGUGGAUCCACACCUCUGGCAGUCUGGAGUACACUUUGGAAACUCCCAGUUCCACGUAAAGUUCAAGUGUUUGGAUGGAGGUUGUUACGAGGAAUCAUCCCGCUGCGAGCUAUCCUCACUAAUAGGCAUGUCGGGUCUAAUGGAGCCUGCCCAAUCUGCCAUCACGGGGCGGAGGACAUCAAGCAUCUUCUAUUCCAGUGCACGCAUGCAAGGGAUUUGUGGGACCGACUAGGCUUGCUGGAACUAGUGAAUCAGUCAUUGCCAGUGGAUAGACCGGGAUCGAUCAUUGUCGCGCAUAUACUGUCACUUCCGGAUAGUCAUCUAUCUAUGCAUCCGAACAUGAAUUUUAAACAGGACAUUUUGGUGGGAGCGUGGUACCUAUGGUGGAUUAGGAGGCAGGCCACACACAGUGAAACAUACCCACCCUCAUGGAGAUGGCCUAUCUCAGUCCUGUCCAUUGUGAGGAAUUUCCAAAAUGCCUCUAACCGAAUGGCCGAGUUGCCUGAAACAAAAUGGAGGAAACCGGACCCAAGAUUCAUAAAACUUAAUGUUGACGCAGGUUUUUUUGCACAUGAGGGCAUUGGUGCAACUGCAGCUAUUCUCAGAGACAACAGAGGAAAUUUUAUUGCGACUCACUGCAAAUUCAUUGCUAUUGCAGCCGAUGCUAUCACCACGGAGGCAAUGGCUAUGAGAGAUGGAUAA
rnacentral:rRNA from 1 species